GCACGGGUGAGUAACGCGUAUCCAACCUUCCGUACACUCAGGGAUAGCCUUUCGAAAGAAAGAUUAAUACCUGAUGGUAUGAUGAGAUUGCAUGAUAGCAUCAUUAAAGAUUUAUCGGUGUACGAUGGGGAUGCGUUCCAUUAGGUAGUAGGCGGGGUAACGGCCCACCUAGCCAACGAUGGAUAGGGGUUCUGAGAGGAAGGUCCCCCACAUUGGAACUGAGACACGGUCCAAACUCCUACGGGAGGCAGCAGUGAGGAAUAUUGGUCAAUGGACGAGAGUCUGAACCAGCCAAGUAGCGUGAAGGAUGAAGGUCUUACGGAUUGUAAACUUCUUUUAUAAGGGAA
rnacentral:rRNA from 1 species